rnacentral:sRNA from 1 species
CAAGCAUCUCUCCCUAGCAUCCCAAUCCAGCCUCAUGCUUCUGACCCAGGAGCUCUCCAAGCCGCAUCAAAUGCCAAGGGACUCAGAGGACCUCGCCCACGCCUCCCGUAAAGUCCACAAAUGCCUCGUUCAUGUGACCUCCUCGCAUUACCUCAUAGGAGCCGUGGAGCCUGUUGGAGCAGGUAGAGAUGAACUGGGGCUCGGCACAAAACUCCUGCAAGAUUAGGGCUCUGGUGAAGCUGGGUAAGGGAAGGCCUGAGCAACAGAGAAGUCAGAGGCCUGGGCCCCUGACACCAGUAUCCCAGGUAAUGAGGGCCUCCAACCUUGGGAAGGUCUGUGGGUGGCUGUUCGCCUUCCUGGAUACCCCUGAACCCUGUGGUUGAGCCUGCUCUUAUCCCCCAUUCCCUCUUCCACAGAACCAGGGAUCUAGACCCCAGUCUGCCUCUCUUACACCCAAGAGUCCAUGUCAUAGCCCUGAUCCCUCAGGCUCAAAACUCUGGCCUUUCCUCCCAUAGACCGAGGCCCUGGCCCUCCUCCCUCAGACCAAGAGUCCAGGCCCUGGCCCUCC